UCUUUAUGCAGGGGGUGUACCCACAUCCCCUUUCUAACCAUGAGCUUCCAUCCUCUUCCUCAUAGCUCCAGCCCAUGGAUGGGGUAUCGUGGCUAUGGCACCCCUGAAACUGAAGCCCCCCGAGGGGGGACCCAGCUCUCGGCUUCCAUCCCCACAUCCUUCUUUUCCAAGCAGCUGCUCAGGAGUAAACAAGGCACGGGCUGGAAAAGGGCUGAGGAGAAGCCUGAGCCCCAAAAGCAGGUGGAGGCCCCCCCCAAGAACGUCUUUGGGCAGCCCCUGCUUCAGGUGUUGCUGUGGGACCUCCGCUCCCCUGCACAGGAGCUACAAGUCCACCGUCAAGGAUGACCUCAAGAAGCUCAUCAUCACGGACACCACCAGCCUGGAGCAGGAGCGUGCCCCGGUGAGCCGGGAAUGCCAUGGCCAAGGGGCCUCCAAACACAACCAGGGGGGCCAAUCAUGAACAGUGGGGCCCAACCAUAACCAAUGGGGCCUCAACCAUGACCAUUGGGGUCCAGCCAUGACCAGUGGGGGUUCAACCAUGACCAAUGGGGUCCAACCAUGACCAGGGAUGGUUCAACCACGACCAGUGGGGGUCCAACCAUGACCAAUGGGGCUUCAACCACAACCAUGUGCUCACCCCCUCUUUCCCCCCCCAGACCCCCCCCAAGGGGCUCCUGAGGACCCUGUCAGAUGAAAGCCUUUGUGAUGGGCGCUGGGACCUCGCUUACACCAGUGGGAGCCCAGUGCUGGAACCUGAGGGGGGCUUUGGAAGCACGUACCCCUCCAGCACCCUGCCCAAGCGCCGCCAGCACCCAGCCACCACCAGCGGGGGCCUCCAUGACAAGAAGGCUGAGUGCUGGAAUCAUGGGAUGGGUUGGGAUAGGAAGGA